UACGUAGGGUGCGAGCGUUGUCCGGAAUUAUUGGGCGUAAAGGGCUCGUAGGCGGUUUGUCGCGUCGGGAGUGAAAACCUCGGGCUUAACUCGGGGCUUGCUUUCGAUACGGGCAGACUAGAGGUAUGCAGGGGAGAACGGAAUUCCUGGUGUAGCGGUGAAAUGACGCAGAUAUCAAGAGGAACACCGGUGGCGAAGGCGGUUCUCUGGGCAUUACCUGACGCUGAGGAGCGAAAGUGUGGGGAGCGAACAGG
rnacentral:rRNA from 1 species